AGCUCCAAUAGCGUAUAUUAAAGUUGUUGCGGUUAAAAAGCUCGUAGUUGGAUUUCUGUUGAGGUCAGCCGGUGUGCUCCUUGAGCAUUAUUUGGUUUGGUCUUGGCAUCCUCCUGGGGAGCGUUUCUGGCCUUCGUUGGACAGGACGAGAUUCAGAACUUUUACUUGAGGAAAUUAGAGUGUUCACGGCAGGCAAGUGCUUUGAAUACAUUAGCAUGGAAUAAUAAUAUAGGACCUUCGUUCUAUUUUGUUGGUUUCUAGAGCUUAGGUAAUGAUUAAUAGGGACAAUUGGGGGCAUUCGUAUUAACGCGUCAGAGGUGGAAUUCUUGGAUUGCGUUACGACGAACUACUGCGAAAGCAUUUGCCAAAGAUGUUUUCAUUGAUCAAGACGAAAGU
rnacentral:rRNA from 1 species